rnacentral:rRNA from 1 species
UACGGAGUGUGCAAGCGUUACUCGGAAUCACUGGGCAUAAAGGGCGUGUAGGCGGGCUUUCAAGUCGGUUGUGAAAUCCCUCAGCUCAACUGAGGAACUGCAUCCGAUACUGUUUGUCUUGAGGACGAGAGGGGAGAGUGGAACUUCUGGUGGAGCGGUGAAAUGCGUAGAUAUCGGGAGGAACACCUGUGGCGAAGGCGGCCAUCUGGAAGAUUACUGACGCUGAGACGCGAAAGCGUGGGGAGCAAACAGG